rnacentral:lncRNA from 1 species
CACCUAUUUUUCGGCUCCUUUGCUUUCAGCCAUCUGUCAAACUCUUGUUUUGAUUUCGUUUCUGCGCCGUAAAGUUCGGAGCGGCAUCUCGGCAGUGAUUAGGUUUUAGGUUCCUGCUCAAAAAUCUUACCGUUUAUUCCAGCUCAUCAGAUGGAGGCAAACGAAGAAAUGAUAGACGACUGCGAGGCGAGUUUUUCUGGUCAGUUGCGGGGUUCAAAUGGUCCCACGCUUGGUGCACAAAUGGAUGAGUCACUCGAUCUCUGUGUCCAUCGCCAUUCAGAUGCUAGUUCUCUGGUUGUGCUACGUGACUGCACCAACGCUAUGAGGGAAGACCAGCUUGAUGAAUUCUUUGUUUCUCCGCCAACUCCAAAGCGCAACCCAACGCAUCGAAAUUAUGUCAAUCGCACACAUAUCGUCUUGACGGCUGCCGAAAGGCUGGAAGAAAUGCGGCUUCUUGAA